rnacentral:rRNA from 1 species
AACGAACGCUGGCGGCAUGCCUAACACAUGCAAGUCGAACGAGACCUGCGGGUCUAGUGGCGCACGGGUGCGUAACGCGUGGGAACCUGCCCUUAGGUUCGGAAUAACUCCCCGAAAGGGGUGCUAAUACCGGAUAAUGUCUUCGGACCAAAGAUUUAUCGCCUUUGGAUGGGCCCGCGUUGGAUUAGCUAGUUGGUAGGGUAAAAGCCUACCAAGGCGACGAUCCAUAGCUGGUCUGAGAGGAUGAUCAGCCACACUGGGACUGAGACACGGCCCAGACUCCUACGGGAAGCCGCAGUGGGGAAUAUUGGACAAUGGGCGAAAGCCUGAUCCAGCAAUGCCGCGUGAGUGAUGAAGGCCUUAGGGUUGUAAAGCUCUUUUACCCGGGAUGAUAAUGACAGUACCGGGAGAAUAAGCGCCGGCUAACUCCGUG